rnacentral:rRNA from 1 species
AACGAACGCUGGCGGCAUGCCUAACACAUGCAAGUCGAACGAGACCUUCGGGUCUAGUGGCGCACGGGUGCGUAACGCGUGGGAACCUGCCCUUAGGUUCGGAAUAACUCCCCGAAAGGGGUGCUAAUACCGGAUAAUGUCUUCGGACCAAAGAUUUAUCGCCUUUGGAUGGGCCCGCGUUGGAUUAGCUAGUUGGUAGGGUAAAAGCCUACCAAGGCGACGAUCCAUAGCUGGUCUGAGAGGAUGAUCAGCCACACUGGGACUGAGACACGGCCCAGACUCGUACGGGAGGCAGCAGUGGGGAAUAUUGGACACUGGGCGAAAGCCGGAUCCAGCAAUGCCGCGUGAGUGAUGAAGGCCUUAGGGUUGUAAAGCUCUUUUACCCGGGAUGAUAAUGACAGUGCCGGGAGAAUAAGCCCCGGCUAGCUCCGUG